rnacentral:rRNA from 1 species
CACGCCGUAAACGAUGAGUGCUAGGUGUCGGAGUCGACAGGCUUCGGUGCCGCAGCUAACGCAUUAAGCACUCCGCCUGGGGAGUACGGUCGCAAGACUGAAACUCAAAGGAAUUGACGGGGACCCGCACAAGCAGCGGAGCAUGUGGUUUAAUUCGAAGCAACGCGAAGAACCUUACCAGGACUUGACAUCCUCUGCAUCAGCCUUAACCGGCGAAAUCCCUUCGGGGACAGAGAGACAGGUGG